AAAACCUAAGAGGGAGAGAAGAAGAACUCAUGGGCAAAAGCUAUUUUCGCAACCCUUUGGCAGCCUUCACAAAUCAUGUCAUAACUCUCUGCUCGUAACUCCAAAUCAGGGAGGUUCUCGAUGAGGGAGAUAAGCGAGUUUGAAGAUUGGGAAUUCUUGCUGAAAGUGAAGAAAAGAGGCUUACGGGUUUGAUGGAGAAGAAGGGGAAAAGUCCAGAUUCUUGGCUAAGAUUGGCGAAUAGCGGCUUGUGGCUUUGGUGAGGAUAGCUCAUAGGCCAGUUGUUUAGUUAGCGUCAGGUGUCAUGCUCUGAUAUUUGUAACACUGGGGACGCGAUGUUUAGAGUUUAUGUUUUAUAACUCUGGUUAUAUUUUGAUGUUUUGGAGGAUAAGUUUUAAAGAUGUUAAACUUAAUCUGUAUGAUCUUGAUUUCCGCUGUGUUAACAUGAAAUGUUUUAUUUGAUGACGGUUCGCCUCAGUGAAUGCAUGACAUGACUGAACGAUGUUAAUUAAAUUUUGAA